rnacentral:rRNA from 1 species
UACGUAGGGUGCAAGCGUUGUCCGGAAUUAUUGGGCGUAAAGAGCUCGUAGGCGGUCUGUCGCGUCUGCUGUGAAAACUCGGGGCUUAACCCUGGGCUUGCAGUGGAUACGGGCAGACUAGAGGCAGGUAGGGGAGAAUGGAAUUCCCGGUGUAGCGGUGAAAUGCGCAGAUAUCAGGAGGAACACCGAUGGCGAAGGCAGGUCUCUGGGCAUUAACUGACGCUGAGGAGCGAAAGCAUGGGGAGCGAACAGG